UGGGGAAUAUUGCGCAAUGGACGAAAGUCUGACGCAGCGACGCCGCGUGGGUGAUGAAGUUCUUCGGAACGUAAAACCCUGUCUGGUGGAACGAAAAAAAUGACGGUACCACCGAAGGAAGCCCCGGCUAACUCCGUGCCAGCAGCCGCGGUAAUACGGGGGGGGCUAGCGUUAUUCGGAAUUACUGGGUGUAAAGGGCGCGUAGGCGGCCUUGCCAGUCAGGUGUGAAAUCCCUCGGCUCAACUGAGGAACUGCGCUUGAUACUGCAAGGCUUGAGUACAGGAGAGGUGGGCGGAAUUCCCGGUGUAGCGGUGAAAUGCGUAGAUAUCGGGAAGAACAUCGGUGGCGAAGGCGGCUCACUGGACUGUAACUGACGCUGAGGCGCGAAAGCGUGGGGAGCGAACG
rnacentral:rRNA from 1 species